rnacentral:rRNA from 1 species
GACGAAGGAUGCAAGCGUUAUCCGGAUUCAUUGGGUUUAAAGGGAGCGUAGGUGGCCUUAUAAGUCAGUGGUGAAAUCUCUGGGCUUAACCCAGAAAUUGCCAUUGAUACUGUAGGGCUUGAGUAUAGUUGCCGUUGGCGGAAUAUGACAUGUAGUGGUGAAAUACAUAGAGAUGUCAUAGAAUACCGAUUGCGAAGGCAGCUGACGAAACUAUAACUGACACUAAGGCUCGAAAGUGUGGGGAUCAAACAGG